CCGCGGUAAUACGGAGGGUGCAAGCGUUAUCCGGAAUCACUGGGUUUAAAGGGUGCGUAGGCGGUUGUAUAAGUCAGUGGUGAAAGGCCGUAGCUUAACUAUGGGAUUGCCAUUGAUACUGUAUGACUUGAAUGAGGUUGAGGUUGGCGGAAUGUGGCAUGUAGCGGUGAAAUGCUUAGAUAUGCCAUGGAACAUCGAUUGCGAAGGCAGCUGACUGGACCUGAAUUGACGCUGAGGCACGAAAGCGUGG
rnacentral:rRNA from 1 species